CCCCACCAAAAAAAAAAAAAAAAAACCCAGUACGCAUCCUGUUAUAUUUAAUAAUAGCGUGACAUAAAGGAGAACAAGACGUUUGAUGUUGGAUUCAUUUGAAACAAAUUGUGCACUGAUUGCAAGGACUUGUCCAGACAGUGCAGCCAGUGUCACCGAGACAUCCUGGGGAUUCACUUCCCGUUGGGGAAGAAAACCCACGACUCUAAGGUGGAUCCUCGGCCACAGACAAAUUAAACUCUCUUACACAGCUCCGCUUUUGAUUAAAAAAAUUUUUGAGUGUUUUCUUACAUUCGCAAGUUAAGUUCCUCCCUGCAAUAGGGACCAGACCCACAAACCCGCGAUUCUGUCUCAUUUUAGCAUUUUUUGCUCAUUUUUUCUUCUUUUAAAAACAAGGUUGAACUGCAAACUGACUCGCAGCAGCAAGAAGCCAACUGAAAUCGGGAAAUGGGGCAGUGUGGCUUUAAGAUGCACACGGUGUGUGUUCAUUGAAAAAAAAAAGAAGAAAGGAAAGGAAAGAAAGAAACCCAGAUGGAGGGAAAGGGGGAGGAGCGGGGAGAAGGCGGAGCCUGAGACCACGUGACUCGGGGCCCGGUAGGCGCGCGCUUCGGGGCCCGGAGGCCUAUAAAGCGCGCGCAUGUCCCGGUGCGCCCGGUUGUGUGUGCGCGCCCGAGCUCCAGACUCUCCAGGCCCGCGCAGCUCUGGUCAAACAGGCAGCUGCAUAUCCUCUCAGUUCUGGCUGCUGCUACAUGUGCACCAUUUCAAUGGUAAAGCCUCUUCCACUCGGGCUCAUUUCCCUGGGUUUGACUUAAUUCCUAAAACGUUCUGAACACUGAUCUCUAGGGUUUUCAGCUCCCUGAGCCCCCUCACCCGCUGUUUGAUAGGUUAACUUUUCAGCAUCUCAGACAAUGGUCCGGGCCUGUAAAUUCUCCCCAUCGGUUCCAGGACGCAAUCCCCAGCCUGGGCUCUAACAAGCGCUAUCUUAAUCUCCCCACCCCCACCCGCCGCUUCCCCUGUGGUCUGCUUUUUUCAUACACGGAGAUGAAUUACUUUGAGGAUCUAAUUGGCCUUGUUUCUGUAACGUUUUAAGAAAGGGAAGAGGAGCCUGCUCGACUUGGGUGGUCAGGGCUGAGGCUGCCCCCAAUUUGCCUCAUUGCUGAUGCAUGUGAGUUCGACAUUCCCAGCGAUAAAGUUGUUCCUAAUCAAUCUGCCCUUAUUUACAUUUGUAAGCAUUGUCGGCUUUAAUAUGCAUGCCCUGUGCAGGGAGUGCUUCGCCACACCGGGUUUGUUAACUUCAACUAAUCACAAGGAUCCUCCAGACCUGAGAUGAGGCUGAGAGAAGGAGCCAGGCCUGCGAAGGUGUCUGCAGGAAAAAGUCCCUUUAAUGGCCUUUUCUGCAGCAUGGCUCCCUUCCUGAGAGUUACCAAACAAGUGAGAAGCUUGGUGCCUUUUUCAACCGGCAGGAGUGGCCAGCCCUCUUUCUGAGUGUCCCAUUUUCCCUUUUCAAGUCAAGUCCAUCUCAAUGCAUCCGUUGUCAUUUUGGUCUCCCCAUCAUGAUCCAAGACUUCACUGGAGUUUGUAGUUUUCAAAACAGAUUCCUGAAACUCUUAAAACAUGAUUCCUUAUCUUCUCUCUUCUCUGCUCCAAUAGUCAAAUAGCCAUGGCCACACCAUGCACAUCUCAAAAAUGGCAUCCGAUUAUCCAAAUGAUGACACUGAAAUAAAACAUCUGCCAUUUGUGUUUGGACAGUCCAAUGAUAAGCACUUUGGGGAGCUGCACUUGGCAGAGGAAUGAGAAACCACGAUGGAACUUGACUAUUCACUGGUUUCACAGAUCCAACUAAUUGGGUCUUUAAAAUCAAAGAUCUUCUGAACCACAUUACUUUAAGAGAGAUGUAUCCUGGAAAGAUUCAGACUGUGAACAUUUUCCCCUCCAUCUCUCCUCUCAUCUCUGUCUACCCACAUAACAUAUCCAUAUCAAGCUCUGCAUUUGGCAGAAGGCACAUCAUUCAUUUCAGUGAUCUCUGCCAUCGGGUCUUGCAUGAAAAAGAAGCUGAGCAACAUGAUCCCUUUGACCCACUGCUGGAGCAACAAAUUUAUUAGAGAUAUAGGCAUGAGAAAUGAAAGGGAAGUAAAACAAUUCCAGCUUA